AUGAACGCUGGCGGCGUGCCUAAUACCUGCAAGUCGCGCGAACGGACGAGAAGCUUGCUUUUCUGAUGUUAGCGGCGGACGGGUGAGUAACACGUGGAUAACCUACCUAUAAGACUGGGAUAACUUCGGGAAACCGGAGCUAAUACCGGAUAAUAUUUUGAACCGCAUGGUUCAAAAGUGAAAGACGGUCUUGCUGUCACUUAUAGAUGGAUCCGCGCUGCAUUAGCUAGUUGGUAAGGUAACGGCUUACCAAGGCAACGAUGCAUAGCCGACCUGAGAGGGUGAUCGGCCACACUGGAACUGAGACACGGUCCAGACUCCUACGGGAGGCAGCAGUAGGGAAUCUUCCGCAAUGGGCGAAAGCCUGACGGAGCAACGCCGCGUGAGUGAUGAAGGUCUUCGGAUCGUAAAACUCUGUUAUUAGGGAAGAACAUAUGUGUAAGUAACUGUGCACAUCUUGACGGUACCUAAUCAGAAAGCCACGGCUAACUACGUG
rnacentral:rRNA from 1 species